GCUCCGGUGGCCUAGUGGUAAGAGAGUUUUCCUCGGAUGCGGGAGGUCGUGGGUUCGAUCCCCGGUCGAGUCA